CAAUUAUCAAGAACGCCAUGAGGAUCAUGGAGAGAAUCUUCCCUAGCCGCCAGAUUACCAAUUGGUUUCCAUGGCGAUGGCAAAAGAUCCCGAGGCAAGGGACACAGAGCUUACGCUUGAAGUAAGAAACCACUUAUGUCUGGUUCUCAAUUUAAUUCCUAAUUUCAUCCCUGGCAAUAGUGUCAGUAGGACAAUCAAAACUUCACCACAAAAUCUGCUCAGAGCCAUCGG
rnacentral:misc_RNA from 1 species